rnacentral:rRNA from 1 species
GAAUGCUGACAUAAGUAACGAUAAAGCGGGUGAAAAGCCCGCUCGCCGGAAGACCAAGGGUUCCUGUCCAACGUUAAUCGGGGCAGGGUGAGUCGACCCCUAAGGCGAGGCCGAAAGGCGUAGUCGAUGGGAAACAGGUUAAUAUUCCUGUACUUGGUGUUACUGCGAAGGGGGGACGGAGAAGGCUAUGUUGGCCGGGCGACGGUUGUCCCGGUUUAAGCGUGUAGGCUGAUUUUCCAGGCAAAUCCGGAAAAUCAAGGCUGAGGCGUGAUGACGAGGCACUACGGUGCUGAAGCAACAAAUGCCCUGCUUCCAGGAAAAGCCUCUAAGCAUCAGGUAACAUCAAAUCGUACCCCAAACCGACACAGGUGGUCAGGUAGAGAAUACCAAGGCGCUUGAGAGAACUCGGGUGAAGGAACUAGGCAAAAUGGUGCCGUAACUUCGGGAGAAGGCACGCUGAUAUGUAGGUGAAGCGACUUGCUCGUGGAGCUGAAAUCAGUCGAAGAUACCAGCUGGCUGCAACUGUUUAUUAAAAACACAGCACUGUGCAAACACGAAAGUGGACGUAUACGGUGUGACGCCUGCCCGGUGCCGGAAGGUUAAUUGAUGGGGUUAGCGGUAACGCGAAGCUCUUGAUCGAAGCCCCGGUAAACGGCGGCCGUAACUAUAACGGUCCUAAGGUAGCGAAAUUCCUUGUCGGGUAAGUUCCGACCUGCACGAAUGGCGUAAUGAUGGCCAGGCUGUCUCCACCCGAGACUCAGUGAAAUUGAACUCGCUGUGAAGAUGCAGUGUACCCGCGGCAAGACGGAAAGACCCCGUGAACCUUUACUAUAGCUUGACACUGAACAUUGAGCCUUGAUGUGUAGGAUAGGUGGGAGGCUUUGAAGUGUGGACGCCAGUCUGCAUGGAGCCGACCUUGAAAUACCACCCUUUAAUGUUUGAUGUUCUAACGUUGGCCCGUUAUCCGGGUUGCGGACAGUGUCUGGUGGGUAGUUUGACUGGGGCGGUCUCCUCCUAAAGAGUAACGGAGGAGCACGAAGGUUGGCUAAUCCUGGUCGGACAUCAGGAGGUUAGUGCAAUGGCAUAAGCCAGCUUGACUGCGAGCGUGACGGCGCGAGCAGGUGCGAAAGCAGGUCAUAGUGAUCCGGUGGUUCUGAAUGGAAGGGCCAUCGCUCAACGGAUAAAAGGUACUCCGGGGAUAACAGGCUGAUACCGCCCAAGAGUUCAUAUCGACGGCGGUGUUUGGCACCUCGAUGUCGGCUCAUCACAUCCUGGGGCUGAAGUAGGUCCCAAGGGUAUGGCUGUUCGCCAUUUAAAGUGGUACGCGAGCUGGGUUUAGAACGUCGUGAGACAGUUCGGUCCCUAUCUGCCGUGGGCGCUGGAGAACUGAGGGGGGCUGCUCCUAGUACGAGAGGACCGGAGUGGACGCAUCACUGGUGUUCGGGUUGUCAUGCCAAUGGCACUGCCCGGUAGCUAAAUGCGGAAGAGAUAAGUGCUGAAAGCAUCUAAGCACGAAACUUGCCCCGAGAUGAGU